rnacentral:rRNA from 1 species
CGUCUAUAUACGUAUAGCAUAUCAAUAAGCGGAGGAAAAGAAACUAACAAGGAUUCCCUUAGUAACGGCGAGUGAAGCGGGAAGAGCUCAAAUUUGAAAUCUUCAAGGUUCUACCUUGACGAAUUGUAGUUUAAAGAAGUGUUUUCUGUUGGAGUUUUGGUAAAAGUUCUUUGGAAUAGGACAUCAUAGAGGGUGAGAAUCCCGUAUUUGAUCACUUUCUACUAACGUUGUGAUACACUUUCAAAGAGUCGGAUUGUUUGGGAAUGCAGUCCAAAAUGGGUGGUAAAUUUCAUCUAAAGCUAAAUAUUGGCGAGAGACCGAUAGCGAACAAGUACCGUGAGGGAAAGAUGAAAAGAACUUUGAAAAGAGAGUUAAACAGUACGUGAAAUUGUCAAAAGGGAAGCGUUUGACACCAGUGUUGUUUUCUCGAAAAUCAAUUAAAAAUGACCGGAUUUUGUGUUGUAUUGACUUUAUCAGCUUUCUGCACUUUUUUCUUGUCUUUUUUAAUGCACUUUUCGUUUAACAAGUCAACAUCAAUUUCUUUUGUUGUAAAAGAGUCAUUGGAAGGUGGCUUUCACUUCGGUGAAAGUGUUUAUAGCCUUUGGCUUCUGCAAUCGGAGAGAUUGAGGUCUGCAGCGUAGAUCCUUCGGGGUUAGAUACAUUUGUGCUAAGUUAUAGUUUUUCAUAGACAACAUGUUGACUAUGAUUAAUCAUGUAGCUUACUCGCUUAUGCUAUUUUACCUACGCUUAGGAUGUUGAUAUGCAUGACUGAUAU